rnacentral:rRNA from 1 species
UCAAGAAACUUCCACAAUGGGCGAAAGCCUGAUGGAGCGACGUCGCGUGAUGGACGAGGUGCUUCGGCACGUAAACAUCUUUUAUGUGGGAUGAAAUUAUUGACAGUACCAUAUGAAUAAGGGGCUCCUAACUCUGUGCCAGCAGGAGCGGUAAUACAGAGGCCCCAAGCGUUAUCCGGAAUCACUGGGCGUAAAGGGUGUCGAGGCGGUUGUAUUAGUCGUUCGUAAAAUCUACGAGCUUAACUUGUAGGCGGCGAACGAAACGGUACGACUUGAGGUUUGGAGAGGUGCGUGGAACUCACGGUGUAGGGGUGAAAUCCGUUGAUAUCGUGGGGAACACCAAAGGCGAAGGCAGCGCACUGGCCAAAAUCUGACGCUCACACACGAAAGCUAGGGUAGCGAAGAGGAUUAGAUACCCACGUAGUCCCUGAGCGGGCUGGCAAGGCGCAU